rnacentral:lncRNA from 1 species
UGAUUAAGGACCUACUAUGUGCAGGCACUGUACUAUGUGCUUUACAGAUAUUCUUUCAUUUGAUCCUUACAGCAAAAUCUUAUGAAGUAGGUGCUAUUAUUUCCUCUAUUUUCUCAAUUGAGGAAACGGAGGUACCAGAAGCUAAGAGACUUAAUAGGCUCUGGGCUCUCAAAGUCACACAGCUAAGAAAUGUCCAAGGCCAGAUUUUAAUCCACCGUGGGACCUUUCUUGUUGUUUAGACAUUUUUCAGUCUUGUCUGAUUCUUUGUGACCCCAUUUUAGGGUCAUUUUCUUGGCAAAGAUACUGAAGAGAUUUGCUAUUUCCUUCUCCAGCUCAUUUUACAGAUGAAGAAAUUGAGGUUGAUCGGAUUGAGUGUCUUGUCCAAGAUUACACAGACAGUAAAUAUCUGAAGCUAGAUUUGAGCUCAGGAAGAGGAGCCAUUCUGAUACUUUAGCUGCCUACUGUGAGACUUGUCUCCCUUAAAAAAGAAAGAAAGAAAGAAAGAAAAAAAGAAAGAAAGAAAGAAAGAAAGAAAGAAAGACAGACAGAAAGAAAGAAAGACAGAAAGAAAGACAGAAAGGAAAAAAGAAAGACAGAAAGGAAAAAAGAAAGAAAAGAAGGAAGGAAGAAAGGAAGGAAGGAAGGAAGGAAGGAAGGAAGUGGAUGGACUUUCGAUGGAGUGGAACCUAAGAACU